UAAAAACCUUAACAAAAAAAUUCAAUAGGAUAAAACUUGGUGAGGGAAAGAAAGAGUGCAGCAUAUACACAUAAAAUUAAAUUUAACAGCUAGAUAAACAUAAUUUAUAUUUUUAAAUAAAGAAUAAAAGUUGAAAUAUUAUGAUGUCCCCUAAUUUCAAUUGUGCAAUUAAUGCAGAUUACGAAUAUAUAACCAACAAAUACCAUCAACACACUUUGUAUAAUAAGGUUCAACCGCGUUGGACAAUCACCGUUAGAAACGCAAGGAAUAGCAUAGGUUGUUACUACAUUGUCAAAUAAAGAAAAAAUAUGUUACUUAAAUAUGAUAAACUAGGGUGUACAAAAAAAAAUUAGAAAAUUUUUAAAAUGGUGUGAUAAAUGCAUACACAUUGUUUCAGUCCUCUCGAAUGCCGCUUCUCCAAGAAAUAGAGAAAGAAAGAUAAUCAAAAAAUAAAUAAAUCUUUGUAGAUACUCACCUAGUAAAUGAUGGUUUUGUUGAAAAAAAUGGUUGAAAAGAAAUAAACAAUUUUGAUGAGUUUGUUUGAUCAGGUUCAAAAAAGGAGAAAGAUAUUUUAUUCAAAUGAUCGAGACAAUAAUAUGCAAACUGAUGUCUCCGCCGGUAAAAGCCUCUCCUAAGGUCUCUUCUCUUUUCUAUCCUUUGUGGGAGUUUGAAUCCGAUAGAUUAUCCUUAAUCUGAUCGUUUGUGUUGCUGGUUAACUUCGUUGGAUCACGAUAUCCAAUAUUCCUGUGUUCAAGCUUCUUUCCCUUUCCUCCUUUUGGUGCUUCUCGUUGUGGGUUACAACAUCCAGGAUUUGCUUUAACUCAUGAAUCCUAAGGUCAAUUUCUUGAAUUUAAUUCUAUUUCUGUCCAUGAUUGUAACUGAUUUUGGUUCAAAGUCAACAGAUCUGAUAUCCCUGUAUCUUGGUCUUUAUGGUAUUCAUAAUAUUUUAUUGAAUAUGAAUAUCUUUACUUUACUGAUGAAGAUUCGGUUGUCCCUUUCUAUUCUUUGUGCCGAGAACUAUAAAUUCAAUUUGCAUCUCCUCAUGUUUAAUCAGUGCCUUAUGAAACUUAAUUCCCUCAUAUUGGUUGUCCUCAUAAUUGUUCAUUUUAUCCCUCUUGCAACAAUGGAGAAUCUUAACAUCAACGGCGACAAUGCUUCCUCGUCUAAGAGGCCGAAUCUCACCCAAGCAGAGCUGCUUGAUCUCUGUCUAGUGGGUCGAAUAAUGGUGAACAAACCAGUUCAUUUGGUGACGCUCGAGGCAAGGCUGGGGCCUAUAUGGGAACCAAAAUACCGUAUGACCCUCAUUCUGAUGGAAGGCAACAAAUUUAUGGUUCAACUCUACUCACAAGCAGACCUUGCCAGAAUUCUGGAGCGUAGUCCCUGGUUACUUGAUAACAAUAUGAUAAUCCUGCAGAAGGUCGCUAUUGGAGAGGAUCCUAUGACGAUGGGUAUGAACUCUACGGAGAUCUGGGCACAAAUUCAUCAAUUACCGUUCGGAUUCAUGGAUAAUAAGGUAGGUGCUCUUGUUGGCUGUCAUGUAGGCAGGAUGAUCAAAUUCGAUGAAGAAAAUAACUAUGGGCCUUGGCGCAAAUUCAUGAGAAUCCGGGUUGAAGUUAUGGUGGAGGAGCCGCUACAACAGGAGCUUGUCAUUGAAAGGGAGGAAGGCGAUAAUAUCAAGCUUCUUCUCAAGUAUGAGAAACUCGGUAAGUUCUGUUUUGUUUGUGGUGUUAUCGGACACUCUGAAAAUUCUACAGUGAUAAGUUCGAAACUGAUCCCACAAGUGACAAAAAGAAAUGGGGAGCAUACAUUCGAGCUGAGAACAAUUCAGGUAGUGGUGGUCGGAGUAAGGUUUCCGGUGACCGGAAAGAUGAAAGAAAUGUCAUUAAUGAUAAUUCAAAUCCUUUAAUGACUAUUGAUGAAAGUGGAGUUUCAAAUCACAAGCUUUAUGGCCGCAUUAAAGUUGGUAUUGAUGCUGAAACAAGGUCAUUAACAUUCUAUAAAUACAUGGAAUGUCAAAGAUCUGAUGGAUCCGGACUAGUGAGGUGGUGGACAGAAAUUGAUCCCACAGAAAUCACCACAAGCGGGCCCAAGCAAAAGGAGGUACAGUUUGGUAAGAAAUUAUUUGCACCAAAUUUAACAAAAUCUGAUGAAGUCAAUAAGAAAUUAGCUGAAGGCAUGAAUGAGAAGGAUGAGUUCUUGUAUGCUAAUGGGGGAGGUGCAGAAGCAUUAUGGAAGCUUAUGGAGUUGGAGGCCCAAAAGAGAGAUAGCCCACAAAGCUCAAAGGUUGGGGGCGGUGCAGAUGAGGCGCGUGGGAGUAAGCAAGGUGAGUUGGCAAUAAUGGCAGACAGCAGGGGCCCACACGGUGGACACAAGUCAGCAGGGCACGGAAAACAAGGGAAUCUUGUUUUGUAUAAUGAAACACAGCAACAGGUGGGCCCACAUGUGCAGCAUAAUUCAAUGGAGUCAACACAGCAAUCUUUGGCUUUUAAAAAACUGUCGGCACAGACUUACAGGAAGCUGUUUGCGCAGGAAACAGCCCCAAUUAACGUUUCCUUCAAUGCAAACAAUGCUGUUUUUCAGGUACAGAAAGUGGAUACCAUUCAGCAGCUAACAUCCAAGAAGUAUGAUGAUCAAACAACUGUUCUAUUUCCUCUAAUCACCGCUGCUGACUAUCGUACUACCUUUACUUCAACAAAGGAUAGCAGCAGCCAGCUGACCAGGGCACGAGCAGCAAGGAAGGAAAAAGCGCCAGCCACCAUUCAACAUCAUGCUAAGCUGCGCAAGCCAAUUGUGGCUCGAAAUCCAGUGCAGCCAGGCUCUUUUCUGGCCAGUACAAGAGGCGCUAGCAGGGUCGGUGCACAUCAAGAGGAAGCGGGACCGAAAAAAAGAUCUAGAACCGGUACUGCUGAAGAUGACCACAAUGAUCGAGAAGGGCAGCAGCCUAUGUCUGGGGUGAACAACCCAAAUCAUGAAGAUAAAACGGCGGGACCUGGCAACCAGGCCUGCCUAGGACAAUGAGUACCAUAGCUUGGAAUUGCCGAGGCUUGGGAAACCUGCGAGUAAUUCCAAAAUUAAAAUUCCUUGUCCGGUACUAUAAACCGAAUAUAUUGUUCUUGUCUGAAACUCUAGUUGAAGUUAAUAAAAUUGAAGAUUUCCGUUAUUUAUUGGGUUACGAUUCUUGUUUUGCUCCAGUUCGAAGUAGUAGAGGUGGUGGUAUCGCUUUAUUUUGGCGAAAUACGGUUAACUGUAGUAUUGUUAAUUAUACAGCUAACCAUAUUAGUGCAAAAAUUGAAGAAGUAAGUGGAGAAGCUUGGAUGUUUACAGGCUUCUAUGGGUAUCUAGAAAUUGGUCGAAGAAGAGACUCGUGGAACUUUAUUCGUGGCCUUGCUGGGCAAAUUAAUCUACCAUGGUGUUUAAUGGGAGAUUUUAAUGAUAUUCUCCAUGCUAAUGAAAAGAAAGGAAGGGCUACCAGACCCAAUUGGCUCAUAAGGGGAUUUCGUCAAGUGGUUCAAGAUGUUGGACUUGUUGAUGUUCACAUGGAAGGAUAUCCGUUCACCUAGUUCAAAAGUCUGGGUACUACUCGUGUUGUAGAAGAGAAAUUGGAUAGAGCUUUAGUUACUAGUUCUUGGAUGCAAUUAUUUCCAAAUGCGAAGUUAGAGAGUCUUGUCGCUCCAUCGUCUGAUCAUUUUCCUAUUCUGCUGGACAAAAAUCCAGUGGCUCAGAAUCUUAGAGUCAAAAGAUCUUUCAAAUUUGAAAAUGCUUGGAGAACUGAAGAUGGUAUCAAUGAAGUGGUUCGGGACAGUUGGUCUGGAAGUACAGGUAAUAGUGUUAUCAAUAAACUGUCAAAUUGUGCCGAGGAAUUAUCACAUUGGAGUAAAACUCAUUGUAACAAACUCCGAGUGGAUAUUGAAAACUGUCGAAAGCAACUCGACCGAAAUCGAAGCACCACAGGAAUUCGGGAUGAAAUUCAAUUUGAUAAUUUGAGGCAAAAACUUAAUCAUUUACUUGUGCAAGAGGAUAUGUACUGGUGACAAAGAGCCAAAACUCACUGGUAUCGUGAUGGAGAUUUGAAUACGAGAUUCUUUCAUGCGGCAGCAACUUCAAGAAAGAAGGUUAACAAAAUUCUUUCCCUGGAAACUGAUGAAGGGAUUCGAGUGACUGAUGACACUGGGAUGCGGUCCAUUGCAAGAAAUUACUUUGAAAAUUUGUUUGAAGGUCAGGAAAGUGUUCGCUCUAGAGUGGUCAACAUGAUAAGGUGAUUGAUGAUGAUGAUAAUGUUCAGCUAACCUCACCCUUUUGUAUAGAAGAAUUCAAAGAAGCAAUGUUCUCCAUGCAACUGGACAAAUGUCAGGGUCCUGAUGGUUUUAAUCCUGGGUUUUAUCAACACUUUUGGUCAGUAUGUAGUGAGGAUAUUUUCAAGGAAUGCUGUCAAUGGAUGAAUGAAGGACAGUUUCCCCCUACGUUGAACUCUACAAAUAUAGCCUUGAUCUCCAAAGGCACAGAGCAAAAAUCUAUGAAGGAUUGGAGAUCCAUAGCUUUGUGUAAUGUUUUAUACAAACUUCUGUCCAAGGUCCUGGCUAAUCGUUUGAAGAAAAUUUUAUCUAAGUGCAUUGCUGAUUCUCAAUCGGCUUUUGUACCGGGUAGAUCCAUUCUAGACAAUGCUUUGGUUGCCAUAGAGUUGAUUCAUCAUAUGAAGACUAAGACUAAAGGAAAAGAUAAAAGUGUGGCGCUGAAGCUGGAUAUAAGCAAGGCUUAUGAUCGUAUUGACUGGUCUUAUCUUAGAGAUGUCAUGCACAAAAUGGGCUUCUCAGAGAAGUGGAUCCAAUGGAUCAUGAUGUGUGUAGAAACUGUUGAUUACUCAGUUAUCAUGAAUCAAGAGGUGAUAGGACCUAUAAUUCCAGGUCGCGGGUUAAGACAAGGUGAUCCUUUGUCACCUUAUCUCUUCAUUCUUUGUGCUGAAGGUUUAUCAGCACUUAUCAGAAGUGCUGAAAGUAAUGGGGUUCUUGAAGGUGUGCGGAUAUAUCGUCUUUCUCCGAGGGUAUCUCAUCUUCUGUUUGCUGAUGAUUGUUUCCUGUUCUUUCAAGCGGAGGAGAGACAAGCAAUCAUGAUGAAGCAAAUUUUAACUUAGUAUGAGGAAGCGUCAGGGCAAGCCAUUAGCCUACCCAAGUCUGAAAUCUUUUAUAGCAGGAAUGUGGCAGAACCAUUACAUCAAUCUAUCACAAAUAUUUUGGGUGUGUGUGCAGUUUUAGGUACUGGUAAGUAUCUGGGUCUCCCUUCAAUGGUAGGCCGAAGUAAGAAGGCAACCUUCAGCUUCAUCAAGGAUAGAGUUUGGCAGAAGAUUAGUAGCUGGAGUAGUAAAUGCUUGUCCAAAGCAGGAAGGGAAGUCAUGAUCAAAUCAGUUCUUCAAUCUAUUCCUUCGUACAUUAUGAGUAUCUUCAGGCUACCAAAUCAGCUAUUAGAUGAAAUUGAAAAAAUGAUGAAUACCUUUUGGUGGGGUCAUGGUGGUUCCAACAAUAAAGGUUUGAACUGGCUAUCCUGGGAAAAGCUUUCUGUCCACAAGAAUGAUGGAGGCAUGGGUUUCAAAGAUCUGGAAGCUUUUAAUGUGGCAAUGCUUGGUAAACAGGGUUGGAAGCUGCAAACUAAUACAGAUAGCCUUGUCUCAAAAAUCUUUAAAGCUAGAUACUACCCGAAUGGUAAUUAUCUAGAUGCCAAGUUGGGGCAUAAUCCGAGUUUUGUCUGGCGUAGUAUUUUCAGUGCUAAGGUGGUGGUCCGACAAGGAGCCAGAUGGAAAAUUGGUAAUGGUUUUAAUAUUCCUAUUGUCAGCGAACCAUGGAUUGGAUCAGGGCUUAGCAUUCCCCGUGUGGGUGAUGACAUGAUAGCCCUACAAUCAUACUCUGUAGGUCAUCUUAUUGACCAAGAAGGUAAGGUUUGAAAUGAACCGUUGAUCCGUCAACUGUUUGUGGAAGAUAUGGCCACUAAUAUCUUAAACACUCCUUUACAUCACCAAGUUUCGACGGAUAAAUUGAUAUGGAAGGCGGAGUAGAAUGGACUUUAUUCUGUCAAGAGUGCCUAUCGGAUUUGUAUUAAAGAGGUUAUAAAUAAUGAUCAUCUGUGUAGACCGGGGUAUUGGAGUGGUAUCUGGAAACUGAAGGGUCCUCCCAAAGUCAAAAGUUUGAUUUGGAGAAUCUGUAGAGACUGCUUUCCAAGAUCAAUUGAUAUUUGGCAAACAACCAAUUUGUGGCAUUUGAUUUCACCGGCUUUUAAUCAGUUUGAUAAAGCUCCUGAUAUCAUUUUUAAUUUCCUGCACAAUCUGUCGGCAGCUCAAAUUGAGAAUGUUGUUACUAUAACGUGGAGUAUUUGGAAGGCUAGGAACCUGAAGUUAUGGCAACAGGUGUCUAACUCAACUACAGCCAUCCUGGAAAGAGCAAAACACCUUCUUGAUGGUUGGAGGAAGGCCAAUCGGAAGCGAGUUCCUAUAAUGUCAGAUAACCAAGCUCUACUCUCGAGUGCCUCAAAUUCUAGUAACAAUACAAAUAUUAGAUGGAGGAAACCAGAAAGCGGUAGAUACAAAUGCAAUGUUGAUGCCUCUUUCCCUACCAUGAUAAAUAAAGUAGGCUUUGGAAUGUGUAUCAGAGACUCGGAUGAGAAUCAUGUUCGUUCAAAAACUAUGUGGUUUAACCCAACUUGAUCUGUAGAUGUUGGGGAGGCUCUGACAUUAAACCAUGCGAUUCGGUGGAUUCAAGAAAUUCAACUUUUAAAUGUUGAUUUUGAAGUUGACUAAAAAAGAGUAGCUGAUUAUUUCAACAAUGGUCGUGGAGAUGUCACCGAAUUUGGCUCUAUUAUGGACAGUAGUGUCCAUUUCCGCAAUAAUUAUUUAACAAACUCUCAUGUCGAGUUUAUUAGGAGGCAAGCAAAUGAGGUUGCUCAUGUUUUAGCUAAGGCAGCCACAUCUAGUACUAGCUUCCAGGUGUUUGAUGAUAUUCCAGCAUGUAUUACUGAUCUAAUUUUUAAUGAAAUGAUAUAAUUUACCUUUUCUCAAAAAAAAAAAAAAAAUAAACAGAAGAAAUUGAGCCAUAUUUU
rnacentral:lncRNA from 1 species